rnacentral:rRNA from 1 species
GUGCCAGCAGCGGCGGUAAUACGUAGGGCGCAAGCGUUAUCCGGAAUUAUUGGGCGUAAAGAGCUCGUAGGCGGUCUGUCGCGUCUGCUGUGAAAACCCGAGGCUCAACCUCGGGCCUGCAGUGGGUACGGGCAGACUAGAGUGCGGUAGGGAGAUUGGAAUUCCUGGUGUAGCGGUGGAAUGCGCAGAUAUCAGGAGGAACACCGAUGGCGAAGGCAGAUCUCUGGGCCGUAACUGACGCUGAGGAGCGAAAGGGUGGGGAGCAAACAGGCUUAGAUACCCUGGUAGUCCACCCCGUAAACGUUGGGAACUAGUUGUGGGACCAUUCCACGGUUUCCGUGACGCAGCUAACGCAUUAAGUUCCCCGCCUGGGGAGUACGGCCGCAAGGCUAAAACUCAAAGGAAUUGACGGGACCCGCACAAGCGGCGGAGCAUGCGGAUUAAUCGAUGCAACGCGAAGAACCUUACCAAGGCUUAGACAUAUACGAGAAC